rnacentral:rRNA from 1 species
GAUGAACGCUGGCGGCGUGCCUAAUACAUGCAAGUCGAGCGAACAGACGAGGAGCUUGCUCCUCUGACGUUAGCGGCGGACGGGUGAGUAACACGUGGAUAACCUACCUAUAAGACUGGGAUAACUUCGGGAAACCGGAGCUAAUACCGGAUAAUAUAUUGAACCGCAUGGUUCAAUAGUGAAAGACGGUUUUGCUGUCACUUAUAGAUGGAUCCGCGCCGCAUUAGCCAGUUGGUAAGGUAACGGCUUACCAAGGCGACGAUGCGUAGCCGACCUGAGAGGGUGAUCGGCCACACUGGAACUGAGACACGGUCCAGACUCCUACGGGAGGCAGCAGUAGGGAAUCUUCCGCAAUGGGCGAAAGCUUGACGGAGCAACGCCGCGUGAGUGAUGAAGGUCUUCGGAUCGUAAAACUCUGUUAUUAGGGAAGAACAAAUGUGUAAGUAACUAUGCACGUCUUGACGGUACCUAAUCAGAAAGCCACGGCUAACUACGUG